rnacentral:lncRNA from 1 species
CCCCCCCGGGGGGGGCUGGGUCCCCCCUGGAGCUGCAGCUCAGCCCCGCAGCUCCCAUGGCCCAGCCGGCCCUGCAGGAAUUGGGUAAGCGGAGCUCUUGCAACACAGCAUUUUUCCAUACAUUUCGCUGGAUAACUCCGAGGGUUUUUUUUUUUUUUUUUUUUUUUUUUUUUCUCUUCCCAGAUAGCAUCAGUUGGCACACUUCGCACGAAACCACCUAAUUACCGACGCCUUGGAAGUGCCAAACUUUUCAAAAGGGGGGGGGAAGGAAAGAAGGAGAAGGCGAGGUUAAAAAUCGCAGGCGACCAACAAGUGUUACCUGUUUGCCAGCAGCCGGGGCGCUGCGCCCUCCCCAGGGAGGAGAAAUGGGGAGGGGGCAGCCCGCUGCUGCCCCUCGCCCCCCAUCACCCGGGGGGGGGCAGCUCCAAGGACCCCCCCCGACCUCCCCAUUUUCCCCUUUCCACCCUCUGGGGUUCCCCUGCGCGCCCCCGACCCGGUUCCCUUUGGGAUGGGUCUGGGGGCGCUUCCCCCCCCUCCCCAUCCGAGCAUCAUCGGAGGGGAUUUGGGCACCGCGCAGCGCCCGGGAGCCGGUAGGAAGGUGCCGGUGCUCGGUAGGUGGCACCGGGUGCAGGGAGCGAGGUGCCCGGUGCCCGGUGCCCGGUUGCUGGUGCACGAUGCCCGGUGCGUGAUGCCUGGUGGAAGAUGCACGGUUGCCGGUAGAGGAUGCCCGGUUCCCGGUGCAUGGUUCCCGGUAGCCGGUGCAGGACUCCCGGUCCAUGAUGCCCGGUGCCCGGUGCAGGACGCCCGGUGCCCGGUGCAUGGUUUCCGGUGCCCGGUGCCCGGUGCAGGACGCCUGGUGCAUUAUACCGGUGCCUGGUGCAGGACAGCGGGUCCCCGGUGCCCGGUGCAGGACACCCGGUUCCCGGUGCCCGGUUCCUGGUUCCCGGUGCCCGGUUCCCGGUGCCCGGUACAUGGUACCCGGUGCCCGGUGCAUGAUGCCGGGUGCCCGGUUCCCGGUGCACGAUGCCCGGUGCAGGACCCCCGGUUCCCGGUACCCGGUUCCCGGUGCAAAACACCCGGUUCCCGGUACCCGGUUCCCGGUUCCCGGUGCCUUAUGCCCGGUACCCGGUGCCUGAUGCCCGAUGCCCGGUGCAGCACCCCCGGUGCCCUGUACCCGCUGCCCGUUUCCCGCUGCCUGCUGCCCGUUCCCCGUGGCGCGCCGGCCCCGCUUCCUGCUUUCUAAUGUUCCAUUGUGCGGAGCUUCCAUUGUGACGUCUCGGCCUCGGCGCGGCUUUGUCUGUCCAUAUAUGGGCAGCUACGUCACGGAGCGCUCCCUCCGCCCGGAUAAAACGGGCUGCGGGAGUCCCCGGCGGAGCAGUCGGGCAGCAGCGAGGAUCCUGCGAGCGGGGCCGGCGGCGGAGCAAAGCCAGGAGCCAGCGGAGGGGGUUAAAAAGCCGCCCACGGCCGCAGCUGCCCCACCGGAUCGCCCCCUCCCCACGAGGAAACCCCCCCCCCGCCGGGA